rnacentral:rRNA from 1 species
UGCAGUCGAACGGUAACGGGCCCUUCGGGGUGCUGACGAGUGGCGGACGGGUGAGUAAUGCUUAGGAAUCUGCCUAGUAGUGGGGGAUAACCCGGGGAAACUCGGGCUAAUACCGCAUACGCCCUACGGGGGAAAGCGGGGGACUUUCGGGCCUCGCGCUAUUAGAUGAGCCUAAGUCCGAUUAGCUAGUUGGUAGGGUAAUGGCCUACCAAGGCGACGAUCGGUAGCUGGUCUGAGAGGACGACCAGCCACACUGGGACUGAGACACGGCCCAGACUCCUACGGGAGGCAGCAGUGGGGAAUAUUGGACAAUGGGCGCAAGCCUGAUCCAGCGAUGCCGCGUGUGUGAAGAAGGCCUGCGGGUUGUAAAGCACUUUCAGUAGGGAAGAAAAGCCGAGUGCUAAUAUCACUCGGUCUUGACGUUACUUACAGAAGAAGCACCGGCUAACUCCGUGCCAGCAGCCGCGGUAAUACGGAGGGUGCGAGCGUUAAUCGGAAUUACUGGGCGUAAAGGGCGCGUAGGCGGUUUGGUAAGUCGGGUGUGAAAGCCCCGGGCUCAACCUGGGAAUUGCAUUCGAUACUGCCUGGCUAGAGUAUGGUAGAGGGAAGCGGAAUUCCGGGUGUAGCGGUGAAAUGCGUAGAUAUCCGGAGGAACACCAGUGGCGAAGGCGGCUUCCUGGACCAAUACUGACGCUGAGGCGCGAAAGCGUGGGGAUCAAACAGGAUUAGA